UCGAGCUUUGAUCCCAUUACUGAGGGAAAUAACCACAGAGAGAUUAAUCACCACCCCACUAUUGGGAUUUUCCAUGACACCUUGGCUGAUUCACAAAAAGGGAAAGACAGAGGCUCCACAACAUUUUCUCUCAGAAGACUUCUUCCAAGCAAACUGGAGGAACAGGGUCUCCCGUGUUCCAACACUAAUUAAAAUGGGAGAUGGAAAAAAUGAAUAAAACUGUGACUAGAGAAGAUGGCACCAGUCUCAUCACAUACAAGCAGGGAAUCCUACUCCAGAAGAGAAUGGUUUUCUUCGAGGAAAAUCUUCACAAGGAACAACAAGGAGGUAAAAGAGAA